UAACGCGUAAAGAACUUGCCUCACAGUUAGGGACAACAUUUGGAAACGAAUGCUAAUACCUGAUAUUAUGAUUUUAGGGCAUCCUAAGAUUAUGAAAGCUAUAUGCGCUGUGAGAGAGCUUUGCGUCCCAUUAGCUAGUUGGAGAGGUAACGGCUCACCAAGGCGAUGAUGGGUAGCCGGCCUGAGAGGGUGAACGGCCACAAGGGGACUGAGACACGGCCCUU
rnacentral:rRNA from 1 species